CUACUAAUUAAAACUAGUUAUUAGUUUUAUUUGAAUUAAUACGAAGUUACAUGGAUAACCGUGACAAAUUACAGCUAAUACAUGCAUCAAGACCUCUAUGAGGUUGUAAUUAUUAGUACUAAACCAAUUGCUUCGGCAAUGUGAUGAAUCAUAGUAAUCGAACGAAUCGCAGAAUUCUGCGAUAAAUCAUUCAAGUUUCUGCCCUAUCAGCUUUGGAUGGUAGUGUAUUGGACUACCAUGGCAAUCACGGGUAACGGAGAAUUAGGGUUCGAUUCCGGAGAGGGAGCCUGAGAAACGGCUACCACAUCUACGGAAGGCAGCAGGCGCGAAAAUUGCCCCAAUCCUGAUUCAGGGAGGCAGUGACAAGAAAUAACAACUUUCAACUUUGUUGAAAAGUGUAAUGAGG
rnacentral:rRNA from 1 species